UCCCUGAUUAAGUAUAGGGAAUUUGGAUGGGUGAGGUCUGAGCAGAUAUUGCAACUUUAAGAUGAACUCCACAAUACCAGAGAGAAAAUUUCAAAGUUGCAAAAUGUGUUGAAUAGUAAGAAAAUCAUCGCCACUCGUAAAGACGUACAAUAGUGAGGUAUCCAAGUGACUGCUCCCAUCACCGACGUCAGUCCAAAAGAGUCUCUUUCGAUCUUCUAUGAUGAAAGAUCUC
rnacentral:lncRNA from 1 species